CNAUGCAGUCGAGGGGUAGAAGAAGCUUGCUUCUUUGAGACCGGCGCACGGGUGCGUAACGCGUAUGCAAUCUACCUUUCACAGAGGGAUAGCCCAGAGAAAUUUGGAUUAAUACCUCAUAGUAAUACGACUUGGCAUCAAGAUGUAUUUAAAGAUUUAUCGGUGAAAGAUGAGCAUGCGUCCCAUUAGCUAGUUGGUAUGGUAACGGCAUACCAAGGCUACGAUGGGUAGGGGUCCUGAGAGGGAGAUCCCCCACACUGGUACUGAGACACGGACCAGACUCCUACGGGAGGCAGCAGUGAGGAAUAUUGGACAAUGGGCGCAAGCCUGAUCCAGCCAUGCCGCGUGCAGGAUGACGGUCCUAUGGAUUGUAAACUGCUUUUAUACAGGAAGAAACACCUCUACGUGUAGAGACUUGACGGUACUGUAAGAAUAAGGAUCGGCUAACUCCGUGCCAGCAGCCGCGGUAAUACGGAGGAUCCAAGCGUUAUCCGGAAUCAUUGGGUUUAAAGGGUCCGUAGGCGGUCAGGUAAGUCAGUGGUGAAAGCCCAUCGCUCAACGGUGGAACGGCCAUUGAUACUGCUUGACUUGAAUUAUUAGGAAGUAACUAGAAUAUGUAGUGUAGCGGUGAAAUGCUUAGAGAUUACAUGGAAUACCAAUUGCGAAGGCAGGUUACUACUAAUAUAUUGACGCUGAUGGACGAAAGCGUGGGUAGCGAACAGGAUUAGAUACCCUGGUAGUCCACGCCGUAAACGAUGGAUACUAGCUGUUGGGAGCAAUCUCAGUGGCUAAGCGAAAGUGAUAAGUAUCCCACCUGGGGAGUACGAACGCAAGUUUGAAACUCAAAGGAAUUGACGGGGGCCCGCACAAGCGGUGGAGCAUGUGGUUUAAUUCGAUGAUACGCGAGGAACCUUACCAAGGCUUAAAUGUAGAUUGACCGGUUUGGAAACAGAUCUUUCGCAAGACAAUUUACAAGGUGCUGCAUGGUUGUCGUCAGCUCGUGCCGUGAGGUGUCAGGUUAAGUCCUAUAACGAGCGCAACCCCUGUUGUUAGUUGCCAGCGAGUCAUGUCGGGAACUCUAACGAGACUGCCAGUGCAAACUGUGAGGAAGGUGGGGAUGACGUCAAAUCAUCACGGCCCUUACGCCUUGGGCUACMNACGUGCUACAAUGGCCGGUACAAAAAG
rnacentral:rRNA from 1 species